rnacentral:rRNA from 1 species
GGCCUGGCUGGGCGGUCUUGCCGAAAGGUAAGCACUGCUCUGGUCGGGCCUUUCCUUCUGGGGAACCUGCGUGCUCUUAAUUGAGUGCGCAGGGGAUCCAGGACUUUUACUUUGAAAAAAUUAGAGUGUUUAAAGCAGGCUCGCGCUUGAAUACAUUAGCAUGGAAUAAUGAAAUAGGAC